rnacentral:tRNA from 1 species
GAGGGUAUAGCUCAGCAGUAGAGCACAUGCCUAGCAUGCAUGAGGUCCCGGGUUCAAUCCCCAGUACCUCCA